rnacentral:pre_miRNA from 1 species
AGAGGGAUAGCUGGGUCAAAUGGUGGUUCCAUUCCCAGAUUUCCAAGGAAUCUCCAUACUGCUUUCCAUAAUGGCCGUACCAAUUUGCAGUCCCACCAGCAAU